rnacentral:misc_RNA from 1 species
AUUUUUAAUGCUCAAGUGCUGAUUCUUCAUCUUAGAUUGUUGGAAACAAACUUCUAUCAUUUGAAAUUUUCUUUUCUUUCCAAUAUUUUCUGUCAUUUAUGGCUAUUCAGAUUUCUGUCAUGGGAUAUUCGACAAAUGACUACAUGCAAUGCACGGGCAUUCGACAAUAUAAUCAUCUUAAUGAAAUUUUAAGAAAAGAAGAUGCCAACUUUCCCCAUGUUGCAAUACUUGGCUGUGAGCUUCAAACUCUGGUUUUGAGCAUCAAAUAUGUUUGACAUGAUCGUGCACCCUUUUCGAAAAGGAUCGAAAAGAUAAUUUUGUUUCAGGUGAGUUUAUACGUGCUUUCAG